GUAGGUGAACCUGCGGAAGGAUCAUUGUCGAAACCUGCCCAACAGAGUGACCCGUGAACAUGUUCAACCUCAUGGGUGCUGGGGCGUUGCUCGGUGCCUUGUGUGCCGGCUCGCCCCUCUCCCAGGCAGGGGAGCGCCCACUUGUGGGCUGUUCCCCGGCUAACCAACGAACCCCGGCAACGGAUAUCUAGGCUCUCGCAUCGAUGAAGAACGCAGCAUCUGACUGACUAGGUACCAGGCUAUCUCGUAU
rnacentral:misc_RNA from 1 species